GGGAGGGUGCCGGAGUGGACGAUCGGGACGGUCUCGAAAACCGUUGUGGGGGCGACUCCACCGUGGGUUCGAAUCCCACCCCUCCCGCCA
rnacentral:tRNA from 1 species